rnacentral:rRNA from 1 species
AUUGAACGCUGGCGGCAGGCCUAACACAUGCAAGUCGAACGGUAACAGGAAGCAGCUUGCUGCUUUGCUGACGAGUGGCGGACGGGUGAGUAAUGUCUGGGAAACUGCCUGAUGGAGGGGGAUAACUACUGGAAACGGUAGCUAAUACCGCAUAACGUCGCAAGACCAAAGAGGGGGACCUUCGGGCCUCUUGCCAUCGGAUGUGCCCAGAUGGGAUUAGCUAGUAGGUGGGGUAAAGGCUCACCUAGGCGACGAUCCCUAGCUGGUCUGAGAGGAUGACCAGCCACACUGGAACUGAGACACGGUCCAGACUCCUACGGGAGGCAGCAGUGGGGAAUAUUGCACAAUGGGCGCAAGCCUGAUGCAGCCAUGCCGCGUGUAUGAAGAAGGCCUUCGGGUUGUAAAGUACUUUCAGCGGGGAGGAAGGGAGUAAAGUUAAUACCUUUGCUCAUUGAC